rnacentral:tRNA from 1 species
AUUUAUAUAGUUUAUAAAAACGUAACACUUUCAUUGUUAAAUUGGAGAAAUAUCUCCUUUAAAUA